rnacentral:rRNA from 1 species
GAUGAACGCUGGCGGCGUGCUUAACACAUGCAAGUCGAACGGAAAGGCCCAAGCUUGCUUGGGUACUCGAGUGGCGAACGGGUGAGUAACACGUGGGUGAUCUGCCCUGCACUUCGGGAUAAGCCUGGGAAACUGGGUCUAAUACCGGAUAGGACCACUUCUUGGAUGAUGUGGUGGAAAGUUUUUUCGGUGUGGGAUGAGCUCGCGGCCUAUCAGCUUGUUGGUGGGGUAAUGGCCUACCAAGGCGUCGACGGGUAGCCGGCCUGAGAGGGUGUACGGCCACAUUGGGACUGAGAUACGGCCCAGACUCCUACGGGAGGCAGCAGUGGGGAAUAUUGCACAAUGGGCGCAAGCCUGAUGCAGCGACGCCGCGUGGGGGAUGACGGCCUUCGGGUUGUAAACUCCUUUCGCUAGGGACGAAGCGUUUUGUGACGGUACCUGGAGAAGAAGCACCGGCUAACUACGUGC